rnacentral:lncRNA from 1 species
CCUACCUCAGCCUUCCAAAGUGUUGGGAUUACAGCACUCUCUGCCCAGUGCCUUUCUCCCCACCUCAGAAUGAAAAGCUAGGGGAACAGGAGGGAGCAUGUGCAGGGAAGCCCCCUCCCAUCAGGCCUGAAGUGCAAGUAGGCCUGUCCCUGUUCCUGCCUCACUCUUCCUGGAAAGCCUGGAUCUCUGCAUCUGAGCACCUUGCUGCCCUGGUCUGUUGCGAGCAUGUCAAGGAGCACUGGCUAGAACUUCCAUCCCUGUGGUGAAUAAGAGUGAUGAAAGUGGACACCAUCGUAUUAUUGAAUUGAAGGGAUUCAAACCUCUUCUGUGAUAAUCAUAGAACUGUAGCAUCAGAAGGCAAUUCCCUAAGUGUGGUCUGCCCACAUCCCUGGUGGUAAGCCAAAUGAUCGUAAGUGGUAGAGCGGCAAUUACUUUUAAAAAAUUUGA